UAGGGAAUCUUGCGCAAUGGGCGAAAGCCUGACGCAGCGACGCCGCGUGAGCGAUGAAGGCCUUCGGGUCGUAAAGCUCUGUGGGGCGGGACGAAUAAGGUUUGGCUACCAUCAAAGCCUAUGCCGGUACCGCCUUAGCACGCACCGGCUAACUCUGUGCCACCAGCCGCGGUAAGACAGAGGGUGCAAACGUUGUUCGGAAUUACUGGGCGUAAAGCGCGUGUAGGCGGCUUCGCAAGUCGGGCGUGAAAUCCCACGGCUCAACCGUGGAAGUGCACUCGAAACUGCGAAGCUUGAGUCCUGGAGAGGAAGGUGGAAUGCUUGGUGUAGAGGUGAAAUUCGUAGAUAUCAAGCGGAACACCGGUGGCGAAGGCGGCCUUCUGGACAGUGACUGACGCUGAGACGCGAAAGCGUGGGGAGCAAA
rnacentral:rRNA from 1 species